rnacentral:rRNA from 1 species
CCUANGGGGGGCUGCAGUCGAGAAUCUUCCGCAAUGGGCGAAAGCCUGACGGAGCGACGUUACGUGAACGAAGACGCUUUUCGGAGUGUAAAGUUCUUUUAUGUAUGAGGAAGACCGCAAGGUCAGACAGUAAUACAUGAAUAAGGGGAUCCUAAUUCUGUGCCAGCAGGAGCGGUAAUACAGAAUCCCCAAGCGUUACCCGGAUUUAUUGGGCGUAAAGGGUCCGUAGGUGGUAAAGUAAGUUGAAAGUUAAAACUCAUCGGCUUAACCUUUGAGGUGCUUUCAAUACUGCUAUACUAGAGGGCGUUAGGGGUUAGCGGAACCGACGGAGUAGGGGUGAAAUCCGUUGAUAUCGUCGGGAACACCAAAAGCGAAGGCAGCUAACUAGGACGACCCUGACACUGAGGGACGAAAGCGUGGGGAGCAAAAAGGAUUAGAUACCCGUNUANUC